UUUAAGAACAAUGUCUUUUGGCCAGGCACGGUGGCUCAUGCCUGUAAUCCCAGCACUUUGGGAGGCUGAGGCAGGCGGAUCACAAGGUAAGGAGUUUGAGGCCAGCCUGGUUAAUAUGGUGAAACCCCGUCUCUGCUAAAAAUACAAAAAUUAGCCAGAUGUGGUGGCACACACCUGUAGUCCCAACUGCUCAGGAGGCUGAGGCAGGAGAAUCACUUGAACCUGGGAGGCAGAGCUUGUAGUGAGCUGAGAUUGCACCAUUGCACUCCAGCCUGGGCAACAGAGUGAGGCUCCAUCUCAAAAAAAAAAAAAAAAACUUUAUUAUUUGUGUUACAGCUUUCCUGUGUUAUAGCCAGCACUUUCUGCUUCUAACUCUGGCUUGAUCUUUCUGGUGAUUCACUCCUAUCCAGGAGCCACCAAGAGUCACCUCAUUAGAACAAAAGAUGCUCACCCAGGAAGUUCUCAGGAUUUUAGGAGCUCUGUGGCAGGAACUGGGUGCAGACCAAUAUAUAUUUCUUACUAUUUCAUACCACCCACAACCUUCACCACCAUCCCCUCCAUAAAAUCAUCUUUUAUUGGCCAGCAUGGGGGCUCAUGUCUAUAAUCCCAGCGCUUGGGGAGGCUGAGGUGGGAAGAUUGCUUGAGGCCAAGAGUUCAUGACCAGCCUGGGCAACACAGCAAAGGCUGGCAUGUCUCUAAUUCUUUCUUGCAGCAGCCCCUCUCUUCACCUCCAAGCCGGAGCGUGGCCUCAUCCCUCCCAGGUGACUCUCUUCCCAGAAAUGGUGCUGUCUCAAGAAGCCCCCUCUCUCCAAGCAUCUGCCAGGCCGUUUGAGCUGCCAGGAGUCUUUGUCCUGCCCCACCAGCUCUGUCUCAUCUAGAUGGGGCCUUCUGUCCAGUGCUACUGAACAGAAUGUUCUGCAUGCCUGGCCAGUGCAGAGACCUCCUUGCACCCCUGCUCCAAGGCUGGCUCUGCCACUGACAGAUAGACUGACAUUUGCACUGUUCUGAGCCCCUGGGGGUGCAGUAUGCAGAGCUAGGCCAUCUCUGUCGUCCUACAAGAACCAGGCAGCCCUGAGCAAGGCUUUUAACAUGCAAGGUGUACUCCACUAGUCUUAAGAUAUCUUGAGCCACUGUCUUGCUGCUCCCAACUCCCAAGCCACGCUGACUUUCUUUCCCUCGGGACUGAAACACCUCUGCUGAUCCCUGAUCCAUAUCCCUCCCCAUGAAAGAAAUAUAAUACAUAAAAGAGAGCCCUCUCCACUGAGCACCUCCCUUCCUUUGUAGCACUUACUUCAACUGACCCUUACAGGGAUCGUGUAACUAGACUAUGAAUGUCAUGAAGGCUACGUCGUGUCUCCGACCCCCUACUAAAGGCUCCAACCCCAGGGAGGACCCCUCCCCUGGCCUGGGGAGGAGGAUCAGGAAGAUCUCUUUAGUAAAAGGUCCGGUUGGACUGGGACAUAGGUCUUUCCUGAGCAAGAACUCUAAAGCCCACUUGUUUCCUUACUAGAAGAUGAAGGUUAGAAAUGUUCUUUCUUAUUUAAAACCAUGGCUUGCAAUGCUGCUUGGCCCUCAAGUCAAGCAGAAGCACAGCCCACAUACCACACAACACAGGAUUUCCUCACGGCUCAUCUUCCAAGUGAGAAGUGAAAGGAAUGUCGUGGGAAACCGCAAGAGUCUGUUCUAAUGAUAAAGCAGAGGUCCAGAGAACCGCACUUACCCUCAGCAGUGCACAGUGGUGAUGAACAACACGCCAAGCAGAAGAGAAAGGGGCCAGGACCUUGGACGGGGGCUGAAUUCAGAAUCAGCGCACAGGAGAAGUGAAGUUUGAGACUUCGAGAAUGAGCCGAAGGGAGACCUUUCUCACUGUCAAGGCGGUGAAGCACAGGCCGCAGAGGGGAGGUGUUUGACCUGGGGGCGCUCAUCACAUGCUGUGCCUAGAAUCGAAGUCCGGGCUCACACCAGACCUCCAAGGCCAGAACCCGAAGACUGGAUCUUCUGAGAACAUCAGAGAAAGACUGUCCUUGCCAUCCGCACUGCAACAAAACUUAGGGAUCUUGAAACUUGGGUUCAUAAUCUCACAACUGAGAAGGGUCCAUCCACACUCCUGGAACUGUACACCCAUUGGAACCUUUAAGGUAAAGCCAAGGAAGUCUCUCCCCAGAAGAUGGCAUCCUUGAUGUGAACGGCUUUUGCUAAGAUCGUGGAUCAAGACUUCUACUGUCAUGAGACUCUCUUUUUUUUUUCUUUUUUGGAGAUGGAGUCUUGCUCUGUCACCCAGGCUGGAGUGCGGUGGUGCAGUCUCAGCUCACUGCAACCUCUGCCUCCUGGGUUCAAGCGAUUCUCAUACCUCAGCCUUCCGAGUAGCUGGUAUUACAGGUGCCUGCCACCACACCAAGCUAAUUUUUGUAUUUUUAGUAGAGAUGGGUUUUUGCCAAGUUGGCCAGGCUGGUUUUGAACUUCUAACCUCAGGUGAUCCGCCCACCUCGGCCUCCCAAAGUGCUGGGAUUACAGGCAUGCACCACCACGCCUGGCCAUGAGACUCUUAUCUUUGAGUAUCUGUUCCUUGCUUAUGCCUCUAUGAAUAAUAGAAAUGAAAAGACGAUCUGUUGUGUGCACUUAUGGGGUAUACUUUCAUUUGUGAAGGAUUUUGCAGCCAGCCUUAUACACGGAUAACUUUAUACUUUGAUAGAUAAAAGAUGAAGGUCCAGUGUAGGUGAGAAACUUUAAUGAGACAUAUGUUGCCUGUAAUCAGUCAGAAACAGAAUAUCGGUUCACUCCUCUUAACCCACACUAUGGGUUAAAGAGGGCAUUGCCAGGAGGGCUUUACUCUUCCAGAAGGGCAUCACUUUUCCAUGGUUUAGAGUAAAAGAGGCCAUAACCAGAAAUGUAUCCCUCAUGAUAGGCUGUAUAGCAGACUCUACUGUAAAGGCUAUAGUUACACAACAGACUUUCAAUUCCCUUGUGAAAGGUAUGCUAAAUAAUAGAAUUGACUAAACAGAAAAGUAGUACCUGUGCAGCUGCUGGCACCUGUGGCCUAGGGAGAAAUACAUCAGGUAUUAUAGAGAUUCAGUUGUG
rnacentral:lncRNA from 1 species